AGAGUUUGAUCCCGGCUCAGAAUCAACGCUGGCGGCGCGCUUAACACAUGCAAGUCGAACGAGAAAGCCGGAGCAAUCUGGUGAGUAAAGUGGCGUACGGGUGAGUAACACGUGGAUUAUCAGCUCCUUUGUGGGGGAUAACCCUGGGAAACUGGGGGUAAUACCGCAUAAGUCCGAGAGGAGAAAGACGCAAGUCGCAGAGGAAAGAGUCCGCGGCUGAUUAGCUAGUUGGUAGGGUAAUGGCCUACCAAGGCGAUGAUCGGUAGCCGGCCUGAGAGGGCACACGGCCACACUGGCACUGAGACACGGGCCAGACUCCUACGGGAGGCAGCAGUGGGGAAUCUUGCACAAUGGGGGCAACCCUGAUGCAGCGACGCCGCGUGAGUGAUGAAGCCCUUCGGGGUGUAAAGCUCUUUCGACGGGAGCGAUAAUGACGGUACCCGGAGAAGAAGCUGCGGCUAACUACGUGCCAGCAGCCGCGGUAAUACGUAGGCAGCAAGCGUUGUUCGGAGUUACUGGGCGUAAAGAGUGUGUAGGCGGUUUGCCAAGUUUGGUGUGGAAUCUCCCGGCUUAACUGGGAGGGUGCGCCGAAUACUGGCAGGCUAGAGUAUGGGAGAGGGAAGCGGAAUUCCUGGUGUAGCGGUGAAAUGCGUAGAUAUCAGGAGGAACACCUGUGGUGUAGACGGCUUCCUGGACCAUCACUGACGCUGAGACACGAAAGCGUGGGUAGCAAACAGGAUUAGAUACCCUGGUAGUCCACGCCCUAAACGAUGCAAACUUGGUGUGGGCAGUUCAGUCUGUCUGUGCCGGAGCUAACGCGUUAAGUUUGCCGCCUGGGGAAUACGGUCGCAAGGCUGAAACUCAAAGGAACUGACGGGGGCCCGCACAAGCGGUGGAGCAUGUGGUUUAAUUCGACGCAACGCGAAGAACCUUACCUGGGCUCGAACGGCUUAAGAACGACGGUGGAAACACUGUUUUCCCGCAAGGGACUUGAGUCGAGGUGCUGCAUGGCUGUCGUCAGCUCGUGUCGUGAGAUGUUGGGUUAAGUCCCGCAACGAGCGCAACCCUUGUCCUGUGUUGCUACCGGGUAAUGCCGGGCACUCUCAGGAGACCGCCAGCGAUAAGUUGGAGGAAGGUGGGGAUGACGUCAAGUCAUUAUGGCCUUUAUGUCCAGGGCUACACACGUGCUACAAUGGACGGUACAAAGCGCUGCAAACCCGCGAGGGGGAGCCAAUCGCAAAAAACCGUUCUCAGUUCGGAUCGCAGGCUGCAACUCGCCUGCGUGAAGCUGGAAUCGCUAGUAAUGGCGCAUCAGAACGGCGCCGUGAAUACGUUCCCGGGCCUUGUACACACCGCCCGUCACAUCACGAAAGUGGAUUGCACUAGAAGCGCGCAGGCUAACCCGCAAGGGAGGCAGCGUUCCAAGGUGUGAUUCAUGAUUGGGGUGAAGUCGAAACAAGGUA
rnacentral:rRNA from 1 species